GAGACUCUACUUUCAGGGAUCAUUUCUUUAGUCUGGAACUAGAGGAUUGUGUUUCUACAGAGGUUGGUCUGGCUGUCCAUGAUGAUGAUGAUGAUGAUGAUGAUGAUGAUGAUGAUGAUGAUGAUGAAGAUGUUUCCUUCAGAGCAGGAAGCUGGUGAGAGGAUGAGAGUCUUCUUCACUGAUGAAGACUGUUCAGUGUUUCUGGAUGUGACACUGAAGGAGGAAACAUUGUCUGAGU
rnacentral:snoRNA from 1 species